CAGUCGCCGCGGUAAUACGUAGGGUGCAAGCGUUAAUCAGAAUUACUGGGCGUAAAGCGUGCGCAGGCGGUUUGUUAAGACGGAUGUGAAAUCCCCGGGCUCAACCUGGGAACUGCAUUCGUGACUGGCAAGCUAGAGUAUGGCAGAGGGGGGUGGAAUUCCACGUGUAGCAGUGAAAUGCGUAGAGAUGUGGAGGAACACCGAUGGCGAAGGCAGCCCCCUGGGCCAAUACUGACGCUCAUGCACGAAAGCGUGGGGAGCAAACAGGAUUAGAUACCCGCGUAGUCCCUGUCUCUUAUAC
rnacentral:rRNA from 1 species